CCACCUCCUUCCAAAACUGCCUUUUCUGCUGGGAAGGAAUGGAAAUGUCCCUGUGAAGCUGGCGGUGCUGUUUGUGUGUGAGAUGCUGCUGCUGUGGGCACAGAGCCUGCAGCCAGCAGAGCAGGAGCAGAUUCGCAUCCCAGGGCCUGUGACAGCGCUGUUGCAUGGGACAUUACUGUAGAUGCUUGUGGUCCCUCGAGGACAACAGUGCCUUCUGCUUUGUAUCCUGGAGCAGGACUUCCCAACAUAUAUCCAUCUCAGGAUAACAAGUUAACAGGAAACGGGUUUUGGCCACCGCACCGCUCCCGCACCCUGCCGCCGGCAGCCGCUGAUUGGUCAGUUGCGUCCGUGCCGAGCUCUCUCCGAGGCUACAACUGGUCCCGGGGUGCGGUACCGCUCGCAGCCGCCAGGCGGCGAUAGCAAGCA